rnacentral:rRNA from 1 species
UGGGGAAUAUUGGACAAUGGGGGAAACCCUGAUCCAGCAAUGCCGCGUGAAUGAAGAAGGCCUUAGGGUUGUAAAAUUCUUUUGUCCGUGACGAUAAUGACGGUAGCGGACGAAUAAGCCCUGGCUAACUCUGUGCCAGCAGCCGCGGUAAUACAGAGAGGGCAAGCGUUGUCCGGAAUGACUGGGCGUAAAGCGCGCGCAGGCGGUCUUUUAAGUUGGAUGUGAAAUCCCCGGGCUUAACCUGGGAACUGCAUACGAUACUGGAAGACUAGAGGCCGAGAGAGGAAAGCGGAAUGACGAGUGUAGAGGUGAAAUUCGUAGAUAUUCGUCGGAACACCAGAGGCGAAGGCGGCUUUCUGGCUCGGACCUGACGCUCAGGCGCGAAAGCGUGGGGAGCAAACAGG